ACUCCUACGGGAGGCAGCAGUGGGGAAUAUUGGACAUUGGGCGAAAGCCUGAUCCAGCAAUGCCGCGUGAGUGAUGAAGGCCUUAGGGUUGUAAAGCUCUUUUACCCGGGAUGAUAAUGACAGUACCGGGAGAAUAAGCUCCGGCUAACUCCGUGCCAGCAGCCGCGGUAAUACGGAGGGAGCUAGCGUUAUUCGGAAUUACUGGGCGUAAAGCGCACGUAGGCGGCUUUGUAAGUUAGAGGUGAAAGCCUGGAGCUCAACUCCAGAAUUGCCUUUAAGACUGCAUCGCUUGAAUCCAGGAGAGGUGAGUGGAAUUCCGAGUGUAGAGGUGAAAUUCGUAGAUAUUCGGAAGAACACCAGUGGCGAAGGCGGCUCACUGGACUGGUAUUGACGCUGAGGUGCGAAAGCGUGGGGAGCAAACAGGAUUAGAUA
rnacentral:rRNA from 1 species